rnacentral:rRNA from 1 species
CUACGGGCGGCAGCAGUGAGGAAUUUUGCGCAAUGCGGGGAACCCUGACGCAGCAACGCCGCGUGAGUGAUGAAGGCUUUCGGGUCGUAAAGCUCUGUCAAGUGGGAAGAACCUAUGCAGUGUUAAUAUCACUGUAUACUGACGGUACCACUGAAGGAAGCACCGGCUAACUCCGUGCCAGCAGCCGCGGUAAUGCGGGGGGUGCAAGCGUUAUUCGGAAUCAUUGGGCGUAAAGGGCACGUAGGCGGCUUGGUAAGUCAGAUGUGAAAGCCCGGGGCUUAACCCCGGAAGUGCAUUUGAUACUGUCAGGCUUGAGUAUGGGAGAGGGAAGUGGAAUUCCUGGUGUAGAGGUGAAAUUCGUAGAUAUCAGGAGGAACACCGGUGGCGAAGGCGACUUCCUGGACCAAUACUGACGCUGAGGUGCGAAGGCGUGGGUAGCAAACAGGAUUAGAUACCCUGGUAGUC